UCGAAACUUGGGAUUAACGAGGUCUUGCCUUCAACGUCUUAUCUCGCUCGUGCUCGAUCUGAAGAAAGGACUACUUCUCAAACUGAAUGAACAAAACAAUGAUAUUUUAGUCAGAGAACACAUCCAGAAGCAUAUGGUUAUUGUUAUCCAGAGAUUUCGUAAAGACCUGCACAUAAAACGGCGGACAUAUCUUUGGAUUAGUAGCGUUGACGUCAUUCAGUUGGAGCCAGAUAAAGCGGAAACACUUUUUAUUGCACUCGGAAAAUGGCCAGCCAUGCUGAAUAGCAAUUGGACACUUUUUGGAAACCAGCCGCUCAGUCCAUUAUGUAGAAGAAAUUUUAAACAAUUUUUCAUCUACAUGAGAAAUAAACUGUCGCUUCUUGAACAGAUUCUCGAAAUCAUUCA